GGGUGGCGGUGCCCAAGGAAGUGAACUUAUUUUGUUCCUUCACAAAGACUGGACCAGGCGGUGCCUUUCACGCGAGGAGGUUCCAAGCACGGACACCUCCUCCUCUGCUGCAUUGUGUGUGCGAGGCAGCACCUCGGGCCCGAGGCAAUAAUCAUUUCGCAGAAAAUGCACCGCCCCGAGUGUCUUAUUGCUGUGAUGAAAUGGAAAUUUAAAUAAAAGGUCGAACACGUGCGUUCACUGGGAAGUAUUGACAUGGGUGUUACAUCACCAGCAGCCAAUCAGAUAACUCCAGUCGUGUUUAUACUUCUACAACCACCUUCUACCUGGUUUAUGACAUUUUGUUAUACCGACCCCAAGUGGACUAAGUGACUGGUAAACAUGAAAAGAUGUACAGUCUCGGCCAGUAAUCAGAAAUGUGCCUAAAAAUACCAGCGAGAAGUAAUGAUUUUUACCCAUCAGGGGUAUUGGAAAGAUAGAAAUAAGUUUUCUGGUACACUGCUUAGCCAUCUGUGUCAACAUAUGAAAUGGUUGCAGAUCUGAAACUUUGAAGGAUAUAACAAGUUACCACCAUCUCUUGAAGUCCUGCCUGAGAAACUACGAGAACUUCUAAUGACUCUCUCUCUCCUACCCAGCAGAUCACAGGCUUCUUACCUCUCAGAUACCUUGGUAAUUCACAGAACAAUAAUAAUUUCAUAAAAGAUAAAAUGAUGCCUUUUAAAAUUCUUCAGAAGUGAAGAUGAGCCUUUUCAAACAUUUGUGAUCAACCUACAUAAAAUUUCCUUCGAACUUGGAGAGCAGACUUUGGCAGUAAGAGUCAUGAAACAGAGCCGUGCAGUUGUGUCUCUCUUCACAAGAGAAGUGGGCCGCGCUGUGUGCAUGGAAAAGGAAAAAAUUUCAAAGUACCUUCCAGUAAAGCGCUCAAGAGUAGGUGCAGUACUUCCAAUGGGUCAGUAGGAGUAUCUGAAUAAACCAAAGUUCUCAACAGAAGUGAGGCAGGCAAGUUGUUUUCCUGUCAGCGAGAGAAGAAUCAAGUCAUUAUUUUGGCCUGCUAAGUUUUUGACUGAGCCAUAUUUCCCCAGACCAGUCACAGUCAGUGUUGUCCUGUGCGGAGUUAUUAUGCCUCGCUGAUCGGUGGAACAAUUAGGCUCAUUGAACAAGUACAAUUCAGGUACAGCCUACUUUUUUCUUCUAUUUAAGUAACCUGACCUAACAACCGUGGGAUUCUGAUGUUGACUCUUAAAACUUAUUUCAGGAUUUUCAGGUUUGCUCAAGAGACAGAAAUGACCUGUUUAUGAUUCAGAGACCUCUUCUUUUUAACACGCUCUAUGUCACUUAACACAUCCCCACCUACAAAGGCACCCACAAACGACCGACACCAGUCAUACAUGGUCCUACUGUAGAGGACUUCAGUGUUCGUUCUGUGAGGCCUUGGGAAAAUUACUUACCAUCUCUGGAUCUGAUGUUCUCAUUUGUAAAUGGAGAUAAUAAUAGAAUGUUAGUAACCGCAUGGGUUUGUUGUGACGAUUUAAUGAGAUAAUAUAUGUAAGGCCCUUGACU